AUUGAACGCUGGCGGCAGGCCUAACACAUGCAAGUCGAGCGGAUGAAGGGAGCUUGCUCCUGGAUUCAGCGGCGGACGGGGGAGUAAUGCCUAGGAAUCUGCCUGGUAGUGGGGGAUAACGUCCGGAGACGGGCGCUAAUACCGCAUACGUCCUGAGGGAGAAAGUGGGGGAUCUUCGGACCUCACGCUAUCAGAUGAGCCUAGGUCGGAUUAGCUAGUUGGUGGGGUAAAGGCCUACCAAGGCGACGAUCCGUAACUGGUCUGAGAGGAUGAUCAGUCACACUGGAACUGAGACACGGUCCAGACUCCUACGGGAGGCAGCAGUGGGGAAUAUUGGACAAUGGGCGAAAGCCUGAUCCAGCCAUGCCGCGUGUGUGAAGAAGGUCUUCGGAUUGUAAAGCACUUUAAGUUGGGAGGAAGGGCAGUAAGUUAAUACCUUGCUGUUUUGACGUUACCAACAGAAUAAGCACCGGCUAACUUCGUG
rnacentral:rRNA from 1 species